rfam:Stegodyphus mimosarum contig98518, whole genome shotgun sequence.
GCCUUCAUGGUGUAGUGGUCAGCACGCUCGACGUGAAUUCGAGAGGUCCGUAGUUCGAGUCCCGGCGAGGGCA